CUCAAUCGUCACGACCACCACCAAUGUUACCACCACCUCAUAACUGCAACCAACAUCACAAUCAUCACCACCCAAAAAUCACCAAAAAAUCAGAUCCAAAAUAAUGCUAUCACACAAUCAAGCCGCGACCACCACUAACUCACUUGAUCGCCAACAUUGCCAUCACAAACUGCAAGGAGUGGCCAUCGUGCUCAUCGUUGUUUCUAUCCCAAACCCUAAUAGAUUCCUCCUUCAAAUCCACCAUACCCUUUCUCUCCCUCACACACCACAAGUCCAACCCCCGACAACACCUUCAAAUGCCAACAUCUUUGUUUGCAGGUGCACCUGUUUGCAUACCACACCACAAAUUUUGCCACCCUUUUCUCCUCUCUCGAUUUUCUUUCUCAUACAUGAAAAUUGCUGCCACAUAUGAGAAGACACAACUUGCCACAUAUGAGAAGACACAACCAAAAUAUGUUGCAAGCGACAUUGUGAUGAUGCCUCUAGUACUACUAACAAUUUGAAUAUUGACAAAAGUACGAAAUAUUCUCCAUCUACUUUUACCUUGACUGGCGAUAAGUCUCACGGCAACAAUUGUUGCCUGGGUGGCAACUGUAGAUGUGGCUUUACAUCUGAUGGUGAGAAAAAAAGGAUAGAGAGAUAGUGAGAGAAGAGAGAUGCGUGAUGUUUAGAGAGAGAAAGAAUGGAGAG
rnacentral:lncRNA from 1 species